AUGUCACACAGCAGUAUCAACACCUUACCAGAAUUUAUUAUGGCUGAAUCUAACUUUGGAGCUAAAGACUGGGAGUCUUACAAGCGCGACUUUCUUUUGCAUUUAGAUGAUCUGGGACUUGACGAAACACCCGGACGUUGUCCAGCAAUAAACAAUCAUUGUUAUGCCUGUGGGCAGAAAGGGCACUUUAAGCAUUUAAACCAAUGUCAAAGUCGUGUAGCACCACCAAGAGGUCAUCAGAGAAGUUGGAGUAAUUUCAGAGGAAGAAAACACCCUCCAUGGCGUUCGCGAGUAUAUUGUGCGGAAGCCGACACACCUCAGAACAUCUCUGAGCUAGAAGAGAUGUUUAAUCAGUGCACAGUACAAGAUUUGUGGACCGCGAGUUCAGAUACUAAUUCAGAGUCAGCCGGUGAUUGGAAAGUUACAUUUGAUGUUGGCAACAAGAAAUUAACCUUGGACACUGAAAGCGGUGCACAGUGCAACAUAUUAUCCAAAACAAGUGCAGAGAAAUUUUCUUCCAUUGCUCCGAUCACCAAUAGUAACGUUAUUACCAAUGGCGUUAGCACCAAAGUUAAAGCAUUUGGACAGAUAAGCUUACCAUGCAAAUACAAGGACACAGAAAGACUAGUUAGUUUCCAAGUGAUUGACAAUCCUCGACCCUUGCAGUUAUUUGGUAGGAAAGACAUCAUUCUAUUUGGCCUGACUGCAAGAGUUAACAGUGUCAAUGUCAGUAUCGCUACUGAGCAAAUAAGAAAAGACUAUGCAGAUGUCAUUGGACAGGACAUUGGAUGCCUUCCUGGCGAAUACGAAAUAAAAAUCGACAAAACAGUGGCACCCAUCAUUCACGCACCAAGAGCUAUUCCAGUAGCUAUUUGCGAUCAAAUAAAACUUAAGCUUGACAACUUAUUUCGUUGUGGCAUCAUAUAUCCAGUAACAAAACCGUUUCUAUGGGUCAACAGUAAGUGGACUCAUCUAUCGUUGGGAGCGUACGGUCAUACCGUCAGAACUAAGAUCAGUAACAUUGAAAACAAUCCCCAGUUCUCACCAAGGGAUCCUUAA
rnacentral:sRNA from 1 species